rnacentral:lncRNA from 1 species
UCCCGCGCUUUACCCGAUGCCUCGGGCCUUCAUCACGAUCGUCUUCCGCCAACAUAGUACAUCGGGGUAUUUCCUGGUGAAUAAAUACAAUGUAUCUUGGGACAUUCUCCGGCUAAGUAAAUACAUUUGAAUUAAAUACAAUAAACUAGAAAGAAACAUUCAUACGCAUAUUCCAACAUUCAACCAAAAUAUCAUUCCUAAAUUUUGCCUACCCGAACCUAUAUUGCCUAUCCAUUUCAACAUGGCAUAAAUCUAUCACAUUUAUACUUAUACCGAAUUGAACAAAAAGACAACAAACCAAAAUUAAUCUACAUUCAACUUUUAUCAAUUUCUCCCUUCCCACCCCAAAUUCUCUUUUCAACCAAAAUUAACACAUGCCUCGAUUAUCAACUCAAUUUUCAACUCAGAAUCUAAUAUCAACAACAUAGACAUAACGACAAUUAAAGAAUGAUAAUCAUACAAAUUUCACCUGAAUAACAUCAAACAUUCAACAAAUGAUCCAAUUUCAAACAUGCCCAAUUCAAUAAAUUGCGAUAAAGAAGAGAGAAUGAGUUAAAGAAAUGGACCUUUCGAUAAUCAAUUUUGAUUGGUAAUAAUAUUAAAAAAGCCCAAACUUGGAAUUUCGGAUGGAAUAACCUUAGCUUCGACUAAUACAACUCGAUAAUCGCGAAAUCAAAGCCUGAAACUAAUGGAGACGAACAGAUCGACAUGAACGAUACCCGAAUUCCAAACCAGUAACGAAGCUAGACGAACCUAGAUUAAGAAAAUAGCCACAGAAAUUGACUACGACGGGCCUGAUUGAAACAAAUAGCCGUUAAAUCCCAAAAUAGUACGAAUAAUUAGAGGUACAAACUAGAAAUCGUAUCAAAACCCAGAAUUUGAAUCAUUAAUUUGAAAUAACCAACUCGAACGGACUGAUUUCGACUAGAAACUCAAAUAAAACAAAGGGAUUUUUGCGGUAUUUCUGGGAUCGAGAUAGAAUUUGGACCUACAAUAUCUGAAUCUCACUAGUGAAUAAUCGAAUACUACACAUAACAUGCCAGAAUCACACCCUAGACGCGAAAACUCAUGUUUCCAAUGAGGUUCGAGUGUGUGGUUGCCUUUCCCCUUUUCGAUCUACUUUAUUUUUGUUUUUGAAUAUCGCGUGAGUGUGUGUGUGUGAGAUUCAUGAGGGAGCUCAAAUAUGGGUCUCUGUGUGUGCGUGUUUAUGGUGUAUCCAGUGAGGGAGUGGUGGAUUUUUUUUUCUAUUAUCUUUAAUGGAAAACAAAAUGGCCUCUUCGUGUAUGGCAGUAGUGUGUGUAUAUGGUCAGAGAAUUAUGAGGGGUUGAAAAUGAGUGAUGUAUUGGCAGUGUCUCCUCUUCCUGGUAGACCUCCUUUUUUGCAAAUUUCAAUUUGUCAUAAAAAAAUAGAAUAAAAAUGUGAGGGGUAGGUGACGUGGAGGGUGGGCUAGGUGAGGGUAGAGGUAUGGGGUGGGGUAUGUUGUUAGGAUGAGGUGUAAAGUUGGUUAGGAUAGGAUUAAAACAAGAUAGAAUUUGUUAGGGAUUAUGUUAAGGGCUGUUAUUUUUUUGUAUUUUUAUGGGGUAUAAUCACUUGGAUGAGAGGUGUGUGGUAAUGUGAGCUAAAAAUGAAUAAAAUUGGAUUUGGGAGAGACAAAAUUAGGUGUCUACAGCAUGCUCCCUUUGAAUGUAAACAUGAAGUGUUUUCAGACAAAGAAGUAGACAACGAGAUAGAAUUUUGUCCUGACCAUUAUUAAAAGAUUAAAACAGAUCUUGACUUAGGACAUCCUACCUACCCAAGUUAUGAGGGAAUCAAGUGACAGGUAUCUCAAAGGAUUGGAAGGAGAUGGACUAUACCAAGUUGGAGAGUCGAGUGAGGUCCCAUCGAGGUUCCGGUCACGGCUCUGUCAUUACUUCAAAAAUUGAAAAAUUACAAGAGUUAAAAAGAUAAAUAAAAUUAUAAAAGUCCAAUCUAUGCAGCUUCUUUUAAACUCUUGACUUGAGUUUCAUCACCUUAUUCUUCAAGCGGGCUCCUGACUUGUAAUUUUUUAAUUUGCUGCUUGGCUUUCAAUUGUUUCACCUUGUUUCUUGACUUUUCAUUUAUUCGCCUUGUGCUUCGGGCGGGCUCUAAUGUUGCUUGAGUUAUCAAAAUAAGGAAGUGUGUCUCCUUACAAAUGUUGCUUGAAUUAUCCAAACAAGGAAGUGUGUCUCCUUACAAAUGUCACUUGAAUUACCCAAACAAGGAAGUACAUCUCCUUAAAAAUGUUGCUUGAAUUACCAAAACAAGGAAGUGCAUCUCUUUACAAAUGCUGGUUGAAUUACCCAAACAAGGAAGUGUGUCUCCUUACAAAUGCUACUUGAAUUACCCAAAGAAAAAAAUGUGUCUCCUUACAAAUGUUGCUAGAAAUACCCAAACAGGAAAGUGUGUCUCCUUACCAAUUCCUCUUGAAUUACAAAAACAAGGACGUGCAUCUCCUUACCAAUGCUGCUUGAAUUACCAAAAUAAGGAAGUGUGUCUCUUUACCAAUGUUGAUUGAAUUACCCAAACAAGGAAGUGCGUCUCCUUACAAAUGUUGCUUGAAUUGUCCAAACAAGGAAGUACGUCUCCUUACCAAUGCCGCUUAAAUUACCAAAACAAGGAAGUGCGUCUCUUUACCAAUGCUGCUUGAAUUACCCAAACAAGGAAGUGUGUCUCCUUACAAAUGUUGCUAGAAAUACCCAAACAGGAAAGUGCAUCUCCUUACCAAUGCCUCUUAAAUUACCAAAACAAGGAAGUGCGUCUCCUUACUAAUGCCGCUUAAAUUACCAAAACAAAGAAGUGUGUCUCCUUACCAAUGUUGCUUAAAUUAUCCAAACAAGGAAGUGCGUCUCCUUACAAAUAUUGCUUAAAUUUUCCAAACAAGGAAGUGCGUCUCCUUACAAAUGUUGCUUGAAUUUCCCAAACAAGGAAGUGCAUCUCCUUACAAAUACCACUUGAAUUAUCAAACAAGGAAUUGUAUCUCCUUACAAAUACCGCUUGAAUUACUAAAUAAGAAAGUGCGUCUCCUUACAAAUGUUGCUUGAAUUGCCCAAACAAGGAAGUGGGUCUCCUUACAAAUAACACUUGAAUUACCCAAAUAUGGAAGUGCGUCUCUCUACAAAUACUGCUUGAAUUAUCCAAACAAAGAAGUGUGUCUCCUUACAAAUGUUGCUUGAAUUUGCCAAACAAGGAAGUGUGUCUCCUUACCCAAAUAUGGAAGUGCGUCUCUCUACAAAUGCUACUUGAAUUACCCAAACAAGGAAGUGCGUCUCCUUACAAAUGUCACUUGAAUUUUCCAAGAAAAUGUGUCUCCUUGACAAAGAAGUGUGUCUCCUAGAGAUCUUGAAUUAUUAAUUUUACCAUGGUUUUGAUUACCAAACUUGUCCAACAAUAUUGCCUCUUGCAUUUGUAGAAGUGAGAAAUUACGGUCUUUGAUGUUUAGGCUCUAAAAUCCUUGAUCUGAAUGUAACAUGUGUUCCUGUUUCAUACAAAGAAAACUUGUGAGUUUAAAACAUGGUGGCUAGUUUGUGGCUUUAGCUUUCGCGGCAAUCGCUCUUGCCCCCAUCAUAUUUAACCGUGCUUCCAACCAUUAGCAUAUGUCAUCGACUUGCUACAUCAUUAACCAAACUCAUAUUAUCACGAAUGACUCUGAAACAAAUAUAGUAUCUCUAUUUUGCCGUGUUUCUUAGAUAAACCCUUUGAACCUUGGUAUUUCCAUGAGUUCCCAAGCUUUUCUGUUGACAAAACUUUCUGUAUGCCUUAUUCGGCUCACAAUCAUGUCUCUUUCAUGUGUUGGUCUUUUGCCUUGCUUUGUGUAAUUGAAAAAGCUGGUAGCCAGUUUUGAAAUCUUUUCUCACUUGUUUUGAUAUGGACUUGACUCAAAGACAAGAAAAAAAUGACAAUGGCUUUUAUUGGAUAACUGACUCAAGAAAAUAAAAUAAAAAUAAAAAGAAGAAAGAAAAGACAAUAAAUGUCCCCUUUUGAAACAAAGAAACGAAAAAUUCAUCUAAAAAUGAUAGUCAACACUAAUGAUUAUGCUAUACAUUUUGGAUUAACCAACUUAAAAUUUUCAUCCAAACAUUCUAUCCAUUGUUGUUGAGUUAAUGGCCUUGAAACUAAGUUUCUUCCUUAGGUCAAUUGUAUUUAAGACCUCAUUCGGCUAGUGGCGCCUUGAAGGGUUUUCGCCUACAAGCUUCUCUCAUUUUGUUUUCCUUAGUUUACCAUUGCCUUAUGGUGUCUGUAAGGGUUUUCCACUAAUGAGACUUUCUUAUCUUCAUUUCCCUUAACUCACAGUCGUCUUACGGUGCCCGUGAGAGUUUUCACUCAUAAGAAUCUCUCAUUUUUAUCUCUCUCAACUUACCAUCGUCUUACGGUGCCCGUGAGGGUUUUCAUCAAUAAAACUCUCUAAUUUUUAUUUCUCUCCUGAUUUCUUAUCCUGAGGAAGACAAGUAGUUCCCAAAUGCAUCAUCAUAUCCCUUGUAUGCUUAGCCUUAACAUCCUCAAAUAUUGAUCUGAAGGUCUUUCUUUGGUUGUAACUUAGAUUUUGGAUAGGGUUAGAAAGAAAGGAUGACAUAGGGCCCAAACAACACUUGAAGUGGGGUAGGACUUACAACUUUUGGAAUCGACUCAAACAAUAAGGAUUAACUCAUGCCCCAUUUUUUUUUGACUGGGUGACUCUAAAUUAUCUAUUUGGUUGAACCGAGCCCUUAGUAGGGCAGCAUACGUAUCCACCCCCGAGAAAGGAGAAUCAGGUCAUGCAUAGUUCUGGCGGCUUGUUCUUUUGCUUGAUUUUGAUUUUUUUUCCUUUUAUUGACUUUUUCUCUUUGGAACUCUUCUGACUCUAUUUUUCUGGAUGCUCUUUUCUUUUCUUUCAUUUUGGACACAUUUUUUUCUCUCCUUUUUUUUGAAACUAUCCUAACACAAUUUUUUUGCUCGACACUUUUCUUUUUAGCUUUGCUGAUUCUAUCUCGACUCCAAAAGAGGUGUAUGAAAGAAAAUAAAACUAAGGCUCAAAUAGGGUAAAUAAAGGAUGACACAAUGUUUGGAUAGUAGAAUGAAAUGCUUUCGUUAUAUCAAUCCUUGAAAAUGCUAGUACACAUCAUGCAAUAUGAACAUGACAGGUGAAGAUCAUUUGUGACAUCUUUAGAGCAUUAACCUCAACUAAACAUGUGUGUCACUUCUUCUUCUAUACUUGUCCAGCAUACAACUCCCCCUUUGUUAUGCAUCCCUCAUAUCGAAUGAUUCAUGCUUUUAUGGAGCAGGUUUCUUUUUGUUCCUCUUGAUAUAGGAUCACGCAACCACUGUUUGACCUAAUUGAGAUAUGUUUUUCAAUUGAUGGCCAAGUUAUUCUUGUGAUUCCUAAAAUAAUUGCCUUAAUUUUCAGAAAAGGCUUCAACUUGUCACCAAAUGUCUCAACACUCUAUCUAUUUUCUCAAAUGUUUCUUCUAACCUUAGCCCUCCGAUUUCAUAUUUCAUGGUUAAAUUGAAUUUUAAGAUCUGGCUGAAAAUUUUGCAAGCAUGCCGUAUCAUUAGAGUCAACCUAAAAUGUACUGUAAAAGAAAACAAACAAACAAACAAAACAUAUUUAAAAUAUAAAGGGAAAGGGACACUUCAUUUAGUUGAAAAUAAAGAUAGAAAGGUUUGAACAUAAACAACCAAAGGAAAUUCUAAACUACAACCCUGAAAUACUUCGAAAAACAGAAAAAAAAUAAAAAAUCCCACCAGACCUCUUCCUAGUAGGGAGAGGGGUGACUUGUCAAUUGCUCAGCCUGACAACUUAGCCACUGAUUUACAUAUCAAUAUGACUGGAGCUUCCCUCACUGCCAAUGUUCUGCACCAUAAUUGAUUCAUCUUUUCAAUUUCUCUUUUCAAAUCUUUACAACCUUCAAUACUAUGACCCUGAGCAUCAGAAUGAUACACACAUCGUGCAUUAUGAUCAAAAUUUUUUGAAUGCUGAUUAAGAGUGUGCCCAAGGAGAGGAGUAAUCAUGCCUCUCUGUCUCAAUCUCUAGAAUAAACAGGCAUAAGAUUCCCCAAUAGGAGUGAAAUUAUCCUUUUCCUUCCUCAUCUUUGUGAACUCUGGCCUCGAAUGAAACUUGGAUUUAGAGGUUCCUUGGUAAAUUUGUGAGGAUCGAGGAUGAUGUUGAGGGAUAGGUGCAUGCCAUUGUGGAUAAGAAGUCGGAUGGGUAAAUAAUUGUGCAUUGAAUUCAAAGGACAUUGAGGAAAUAGAAUGAAACUCCUUGGAUUUUGAAAAGAGGAAUCUUGUUGCAGAUGAGUAAGUGGAUUUUAUAUGAAAGAUCGGGAUUGAGGCUGACAGUAUUGAUGAGUUGGACCUCUCAAACUCUGCUUUGGCCCUGGCACGACAAUAGGUGUGUUUUCCUUCUUCUUUUCUUCAGUUUCCCUGGGUUGAUUGCAAUAUCAUCCCAAAUGUUUCACAGAAUCCUUUUGCCCAUCAUGUUCCUCAAAUUUUGAUAUCUCAAAGCUUUGAAGAAGGCUGACACUUGAAGACAUGCCCCAGUCUUUAUAUGAAACAUCUUCUUUACCCACAAGUCCCAAGAAACUUUCCAUAUCAUUUUCUACACUCUUCACUUUCCCCACCAUUUUCUCUGACUUUUCUGGUAUGCUAGGAUUCUUGGUAAGAAAUUUUGGCGGUCCACUUAACUUAACUGUAGUCUCAAGAGUAUAGCAAUAAUGAUAAAGAGCCUUGAAUAUGAGGUCUUUAGCAGAUUGGGGCAGCACAACCGUUGGAUUGAUAGCCAAUGUGGAAGCCUCAGUAGAAGGUUGAGCAACAAAAGCACAGACGGUAUGUGGUGCUAUGAAUGUGGUAGGCUUAUACUGAGGAUCUAAGGAAUGAGAGGCGGAAGCAUUGGGGUGCAUUUGACGUGAAAUGGAUUCUAUGGCAUGCUGUGGUGCAUCAACAACAGUAAGAAAUUGAAUUUGCGAUUUUGGUGGAAGACUCAAGGUAUUUACAGGGUCAAUAGCAGAAAAUAGAUGAGGAGGCAACCCACUGACCCAAGCUCGAUGCAUUUCUGUCAUUUGUUGCCUUAGUCUCCUAAUCUCUUGCUUUAAACUCUCAUUUUCAUGACUCUUUAUUUGAUCCAUGAUGUCACUCUCUAGAUCUUUGUUGAACACAACUAACCCUUUAAAUUUGUUGUGAUAUGGAGGACCAGCCAGAAUGCCACAAACCAACCACCUUAAACUGACUCAACAAAAAACAACAAAUGUGUUAGAGUUCAACACUUUUUCAAAACUCUUUUUCCUUUUUUUUUGAAAAGAUCACCAAACCCAAGAAGGGCGCCUACGUAUCUCACUCCCGAAAGAGGAGAAUCAAGUGUGCGUAGUUCGUGAAGUCUUGCCAAAAUGGCCAAUUAAUUCUUUUUCCUUUCUUUUUUUUUUUAGAAACUUCAUAAAUAAAAAAUUGACAAAAGAAUUGAUGAAAAUCUUUUUGCAUUUUUCAGGUUUAAACUCCCUAUACAAAACGAAAUCUAUGAUUACCAAAGAAAAAUCUUUUUGGGUUUCAAUUUUUGAAUUUCAUACAAAAAUGAGACUUGAAGCUAUUAACAAAAAUUUUUUUUGUGAUUUUCUUUUAAAAAUGUAUAGGAAACACCUACUUUAAAGGAAAAGUGAAGAAAAUCUUUUUUUUUUUUGGAUUUUUCAAAUAAAAUCCCCGAACCAACAAUAGGCUGCCUACGUAUCUUACUCCUGAAAGAGGAGAAUCAGGGGUGCGUAGUUCGUCCAGGUUGGAUAAUUAAGGAUUAAAACGAACUAAGACUUGACUUAAGAAAUGCGAUUACAGACGAAUGAUGAAAAUUAAAUCUUUUUGGGUUUUCAAUUAGACACUUCACACAAAACUGGCACCAACAACUAUGAAAGAGAAAAGAAAUCCUUUUGGUAUUUUCGUUAUAUGAGAUGUACAAAUCUCCUACCAUCUUUUUUACAUUUUUUCUUUAUAAAAGCUUCUAUUAAAAAAAUCUUUUUAAAGUUUUCGAAUUAUGAAUGCAGGGUAAGGGAACAAAAGAAAAUCUUUUGAUGUUUUUUUUUUUCAGACAAUGAGUGCGAAAGGUAACGAAAAUCUUUUUUUUUUAAUCUUUGAAUUGUGAAAAACAAAAGCCAUAAAAACACUAAAAACUACGCAACUUUCUUUUUUUGACUCACUUUUCUUUUCUUCCCUUUUUUUUUCAACACUUUCUUAUCUACAGACUUUACUUCUAACACAUGUUUUCUCCAAAUCGGUCUGUCAAAUGACCACGCUACCCUCUGAGAUGCGACAUUUAGCACGUAGGGAUGCUUUAAAGGUGAAUUUCCUAUGAAGGAUCAAGUGGACCCCGCUAGAUCUUCAUAUGAUGCAGAUAAGCAUGACCUAAAGACUGACGUACGUUGGGGUUUACUAACAAGGAUUUUCGGGAGAGCGUAUAGUCGAUAGUGGCUUGCUUUAGCUGGCCACCUACUCCAUUCAACCCAACGGCUCCCCCUCCUAAAAUAAGGUUGACUCAACUAUAGGUCGUGUACACACGUGUACUACGAACUUGUUGCAGAAAGAAAUACUCGGGUUAUGCACAUGAUGCCAGGUAUAAAGCGGUAACACAUAAAGUUAAAACUGUAAACAAAGAGCACGUAGGCACUCAACAAUGAUAAACAAUAACACAAAACAACACAAACAAAAUGUCUAUUGCCAAACUAAGCCGAUAUAACUCCAAAAUAAGCUCGAAUUCUAAAAAAUCCCCAGUAGAGUCGCCAGAGCUAUCACACCACUUUUUAUUAACUUCAAAAGAUAUCAUUUUCAGUUUCAAAGGGUUUUUAUUAUCAAAGUGACAAGAUGAAAAUUGUUUCGAAAAAGGAUUAUUUACAUUUUUUAUUCAGAGUUGCCACUUGGCAUAAUCCGGUAUGCCAAGUCACCUUUAAAAAAUCUUUUACAAAACCGUUUGACUCUUUGAAACUGGUUUGCGAAAAGAGAUUCCGAAUAAGAAAUUAUGUUGACCGAGGGAAAGGUGUUAGCCACCCCUCGGUCCCGUGUUUCAACCACGGUUGCUUGGUGGAGCAUAUCGGCUAAUUUUUGGGCACUAAGAAUGUAUAAACCACAUAAAACACAUAAGCAAACACCCAAACACACGAAACAAAAUAAAUCCAAAGUAUAGUGUUCAGUCCGAUUAUACAGUCCAAAAAUGAAUAAAAAAUCCAAAAAUAAAUCCUAUCUACCUACACUAAUCCUAACUACUCCCUCGCUUUACCCGAUGCCUCGGGCCUUCAUCACGAUCGUCUUCCACCAACAUAGUACGUCGGGGCAUUCUCCGAUGAGUAAAUACAAUGUAUCUCGGGACAUUCCCCGACUAAAUAAAUAUAUUUGAAUUAAAUACGAUAAACUAGAAAGAAACAUUCACACGCACAUUCCAAUAUUCAACCAAAACAUCAUUCCUAAAUUUUUCCUACCCGAACCUAUAUUGCCUAUCCAUUUCAACAUGGCAUAAAUCUAUCACAUUCAUACUUAUACCGAAUUGAACAAAAAGACAACAAAACAAAAAUUAAUCUACAUUCAACUUUUAUCAAUUUCUCCCUUCCCGCCCUAAAUUCUCUUUUCAACCAAAAUUAACACAUGCCUCGAUUAUCAACUCAAUUUUUAACUCGGAAUCCAAUAUCAACAACAUAUACAUAACGACAAUUAAAGCAUGAUAAUCAUACAAAUUUCACAUGAAUAACAUCAAACAUUCAACAAAUCAUCCGAUUUCAAACAUGCCCAAUUCAACAAAUUGCGAUAAAGAAGAGAGAAUGAGUUAAAGAAAUGGACCUUUCGAUAAUCAAUUUUGGUUGGUAAUAAUAUUAAAGAAGCCCAAACUUGGAAUUUCAGAUGGAAUAACCUUAGCUGCGACUAAUCCAACUCAGUAAUCGAGAAAUUGAAGCUCAAAACUAAUGGCGAUGAACCGAUCAACACAAACGGGACUCGAAUUCCAAACCAGUAACGAAGCUAGACAAACCUAGAUCGAGAAAACAGCCACAAAAUUGACCACGAUGGGCCUAAUUGAAACAAACAGUCGCUAAAUCCCAAAAUAGUAUGAAAAAUCAGAGGUACGAACUAGAAAUCGUAUCAAAACUUAGAAUUCGAAUCGUGAAUUCGAAAGACCCGACUCGGACGGACUGAUUUCAACCAGAAACUCAAAUAAAACAAAGGGAUUUUUGCGGUAUUUUUGGGAUCAAGACAGAAUCUGGACCUACGAUAUUUGAAUCUCACUAGUAAAUAACCAAAUCCCGCACAUAACACGCCAGAAUCACACCCCAGACGCAAAAAUUCGUGUUUCCAGUGAGGUUCGAGUGCGUGGCUGCCUUUCCCCUUUCCGAUCUACUCCAUUUUUUGUUUUUGAAUAUCGCGUGAGAGUGUGUACGAGAUUUGUGAGGAAGCUCAAAAAUGGGUCUCUGUAUGUGUGUGUUUAUGGUGUAUCCAGUGAGGGAGUGGAGGAUUUUUUUUCUGUUGUCUUUAAUGGAAAAAAAAUGGCCUCUUCGUGUAUGGCAAUAGUGUAUGUAUAUGAUCAGAGAAUUGUGAGGAGUUGAAGAUGAAUGAUG